GUUCUCGUAGUUCAAUGGAUAGAACGAGGCCCUCCUAAGGCCUAGAUACAGGUUCGAUUCCUGUCGGGGACGCCA
rnacentral:tRNA from 1 species